GGAGACGAUUUAAAUUCUUAUUUACAGUAAGAAACACCUAACGGCGUCUUUA
rnacentral:tRNA from 1 species